CUUCCCGUCGGUACCCAGGAGGGAGCACAGCCUGCAAUGGCCGCCUUAUCUCACCCUCGCCCAUGGCCCCGCAGACAUGAGAAUCUUCUUUCCAGAGGAGAGAGGGCCCCAGAUUAUGAUUUUCGAUCUGAGACAGUCCACACCCCUACCCCUUCCAGAAUCUUCUUUCCAGGGGAGAGAGGACCCCAGAUUAGGAUCUCCGAUCUGAGACGGUACGCACCCUCUACCCCUUCUAGAAUCUUCUCUUGUUUCUCCAAUGGCCCUUUGAGGCCAAUCCCCUUCUGGCCAAAACACACGGCCAGACAAGAAAGCCAUUGAGAGAACAAGCAAGGGUGUGUCUGUGCCCACUGGGGUGUCCCCAGAGCUCUUUGGGCAUCUGUGUCUUACCCCUUUCAUCAUCCAACAAAGGGUGACUCAACACCAGCACCAGCCCCGCGCCUUCGUCCCGGGAGGGCUGAGUCCUUCUGCGGCGUUGGGUCUGGGUCCCAGGGCUUGCCAGUUCUGCCGAUGCCUGUCACCUGGGUGCAAGCCUGUGUGUGGGCCCACAUGUGUGCCUGCAGAUGUCUCUGCAUGUGACAUGUGCAUGCCAAGUGUCCAGCUGUCUAUCCCUUAUGCUUAGUCUCUGAGUCUGGGCUGACUGUGCUGAUGGCACUUUUUCCAAAGGUUCCUGGUAACUGGGACAAGUCAGUGUGUCCUCCAGCUUGUUGUCAGGGGUCCCUGGGCAGUGCUAGGCAGCAGCUUUUGGAUGGGCAGUCAGUCGGUCAACAUAUGUUUAUUUUGGGGUGUAUAUAGGCGGUCCUGGGGGCUUGCUGUCUCAUCUGCCUCCAUCCACCGGUCUGCAGGGACUGCAAAUGAGGACAUAGUUGUCCCCUCUGGCCGGUGUUGCUGUGUGUCUCUGUAGUUAAAGGUGUACCCUGGAGCCCUUCCCCUUCCCUGGGUGCCUGGUUUGUGGGGUUUCUGUCCUGGGUUAGCAGGGGGCAGGGGGACCUAAUCCAUGGUCAAUACCUCCCUCCACCUCACUCCCCAGCAGAAAACCCAAAUGUGCAUGGAGAAAGAGCACUGGCUCAACUGUCCCCAAAGUAUAGAGACAGAUGAUUAAUAGAUGCAUACAUACAUGUGUAUAUGUAUGUAUACACACACAUCCAUCCAUCCAUAUGCAUACAUACACACACAUCCAUACAUGUACAUACACAGAUAUGAUAUCACAUAGAAUAAAAUACUCCAACU
rnacentral:lncRNA from 1 species